GCAGGUGUUGAUUAUAAUUUGUGUUUUUGUUGUAAUUCACUCAAAAUCCUUAUGUUUUUCUUUGGGUAAUUAAUGUGUGUGUAUAUAUAUAUGUGUGAGAAAAGGAAAAAAAGUAUUUUAUUUCUUUAUGAGUUCCGUGCGCGCGUCACUGGCGCGUUGCGCGCUCUUGCUUCAGUCCGCGGGAGGUCUGAGCAGAGCGAGGUAUGCAUUUUGUUCAAUCUUGAUCAAAAACGUGUUAAAAGGGAAACAAUCUCUAAUUAAUUGAUCUGUGUUUUCUUAAAAUGUGAAAAUGAGUUACCUGAAUGCGUUGCCUUUUCUUAGGACCGAGUUUAAAGUCGUUUUACCUGCAAAAGUGUAGUUUUAAUCGAGGGAAUGUAGUGUGACGUCGUUAGCGUGAAAGUUAGCCUGUGAAGGGUGACUGCUGAUUUCUCUUCUUUGUGUGAAUGUUUAGCAGGAGCAGGCAAGAUUGUACAACGAAUAAUUAACUGCAUGUUCUCUACUUAUGCAGAUAAAAGAAAGUCUAUCGAACCAGCAGACUGACUCCAGUGUUUAUUUCACACUACACAACACAACGCAGAGGGGUAGCCAGGCCGUGAGAGUCGAGCCGGCUACACUUGUGUACAAAUGAUUGUUUCUUUUCUAUGUGGUUUCCUCAAAAAAAAGUGUUCAUGAGAUGGAUUGCCUGAGGGAAGAAACUGUUCCUGUGCCUGGCCGUUCUGGUGCUCAGAGCUCUGUAGCGUCGACCAGGCGGCAGCAGUUCAAAGAGGGAGUGUGCUGGGUGUGA